AUGGUCAAGCCCAAUGACGUGUUCAUACGUGUGGUCCCAAACAAGAAACGAGUUUGAAAAAAAGUUGUUGUAUCAACAACUUCCGGUACAUUCAGUGAGCGAUGUCUUAGAAACAUAAACAUAAUUACUAAAUUCGGUAAAAUGGACAACCGUUGUUAUUGUUGUUCAUCAAAGUUCACUCUCUUCAGGAAGCUCACGGAAUAAGCUGCAUUGGAUGAGGCCAGUGGCUACAACAUACCUCCUGAGCACAGUGGUGCAAAAAACACAGAAAUGACAGCUGCCCACAAGAAACAGACACCAGUUCUAUCGUGUUCAUCAUCGAGGACCCCAGCAGCUGCCCUGGCCAGUCAGGCUUCAGACAGUGAUGAGGAUGAGCUUCCCUGGUGCUGCAUCUGUAACCAGGAGACCUCCAUCCGCUGUCACACCUGUGAUGGGGAUCUUUUACUGCAACCGCUGCUUCAGGGAGUGCCAUGAUAUGAAUGACAGGAAAGAGCACCGCACAGCUACAGUAGUUACACGGCACCUAAGAAAAACAAGAGGACGACGACGUGAGACUGCAGGGGCUGGCAUCAGUGUUUCUCGGAUUCACUCUAAAAGAUGUGUACUAUACCUUUUAAGAGGCUGGACAGUGUUCUUGAAAUUCUGCAGGAUCACGAAGAGAAGGCUUAUCCAAACACUACUACCUGUCUUUAGGGUUGAAAAAUUCCAGUAACUUUCCCAAAGUGCCCUGGUUUUCCAGAAAUCCUGGUUGGGAGAUUGCUGGAAUUAUGAGGGAAUAAGCAGGGGUGUAAAGUCCUUAAGUAAAAAAAAUAGUUUAAAAGUACUACUUAAGUAGUUUUUGGGAUAUCUGUACUGUACUUGACUAUUUAUAUUUUUGACAACUUUUACUUCACUACAUUCCUAAAGAAAAUAAUGUACUUUUUACUCCAUACAUUUUCCCUGACACCCAAAAGUACUUUUUAUUUUACUGGAUGACAUUCACUUGUACUUGAGACAUUUUCUAUUAAAGUAUCUUUACUAGGCAUGCACUGAUAUGACAUCUUUGGCCAAUAUCAGAUAUUUCCUUGCCCAAAAAAAACGAUACCGAUAACCAAUGUUUAACAUUUUAGUGGCCAUUUAAGCAUUCUAGUGCAGUUAAAUAGUUGAAACACUCACACACACUGACCAAAAAGUUAUUUUGUUGGCAUUUACGUAUGUCCCCAUUACCUGUAAAACCUCAUCAAAACCUAUUUCUUUCACUUACUUGCUGUGCUGUUUCCUUGUCCAUUUGUUCAGUCUGAACCAGGAUUUCAUCAUACAUGUCAAGCAGUGAAGUUUCAGCUCUGUCUGUCUGUGGCCUCUC